CUAAAAUCACAAAAUUCUUCUGGCACUCUUCCGCCGCAGCUUGCAAGGUUGCCUUACCUACAAGAAAUUGAUCUCACCUUCAACUACCUUAACGGCACAAUUCCAAAGCAAUGGAGUUCCUUGAAUCUUGUCAACAUUUCUCUUUAUGGAAAUCGUGUAACAGGUUCAAUCCCA